GCAAGUCGAACGGGGAAUUUUUGGAGCUUGCUUUAGAAAUUCCUAGUGGCGAACGGGUGAGUAUCACGUGAGCAACAUGCCUCGAAGAAUGGGAUAGCCCACCGAAAGGUGGAUUAAUACCGUAUGUGGCGGGUGAUCUACGGAUUGCUUUGCUAAAGGGUGGGGAACCUUAGGGUCCUGCCGCUUUGAGAUUGGCUCGCGGCCUAUCAGUUAGUUGGUGGGGUAAAGGCCUACCAAGACAACGACGGGUAGCCGGUCUGAGAGGAUGUGC
rnacentral:rRNA from 1 species